rnacentral:rRNA from 1 species
AAUGAACGCUGGCGGCAGGCCUAACACAUGCAAGUCGGACGGUAGCACAGAGGAGCUUGCUCCUCGGGUGACGAGUGGCGGACGGGUGAGUAAUGUCUGGGGAUCUGCCCGAUAGAGGGGGAUAACCACUGGAAACGGUGGCUAAUACCGCAUAACGUCGCAAGACCAAAGAGGGGGACCUUCGGGCCUCUCACUAUCGGAUGAACCCAGAUGGGAUUAGCUAGUAGGCGGGGUAACGGCCCACCUAGGCGACGAUCCCUAGCUGGUCUGAGAGGAUGACCAGCCACACUGGAACUGAGACACGGUCCAGACUCCUACGGGAGGCAGCAGUGGGGAAUAUUGCACAAUGGGCGCAAGCCUGAUGCAGCCAUGCCGCGUGUAUGAAGAAGGCCUUCGGGUUGUAAAGUACUUUCAGCGGGGAGGAAGGCGAUGUGGUUAAUAACCGCGUCGAUUGACGUUACCCGCAGAAGAAGCACCGGCUAACUCCGUGCCAGCCGCCGCUGUAA